rnacentral:rRNA from 1 species
UACGUAGGGGGGCAAGCGUUGUCCGGAUUUAUUGGGCGUAAAGAGCGUGUAGGCGGUUUGGUAGGUCCGUUGUGAAAACUCGAGGCUCAACCUCGAGACGCCGGCGGAAACCAUCAGGCUAGAGCCGGAAGAGGAGAGUGGAAUUCCUGGUGUAGCGGUGAAAUGCGUAGAGAUCAGCAGGAAUACCCGUGGCGAAGGCGGCCCCCUGGGCCGAACCUGACGCUGAGGCGCGAAGGCGUGGGGGAGCGAACGGG